UACGGAGGGUGCAAGCGUUAUCCGGAUUCACUGGGUUUAAAGGGUGCGUAGGUGGGCUGGUAAGUCAGUGGUGAAAUCUCCAGGCUUAACUUGGAAACUGCCAUUGAUACUAUCAGUCUUGAAUACCGUGGAGGUCAGCGGAAUAUGUCAUGUAGCGGUGAAAUGCAUAGAUAUGACCCGGAACACCGAUUGCGAAGGCAGCCCACUAAGCAAUGAUUGACGCUGAGGCACGAAAGCGUGGGGAUCAAACAGG
rnacentral:rRNA from 1 species